rnacentral:rRNA from 1 species
UACGUGAGGGGCUAACGUUGUUCGGUGUCACUGGGCUUAAAGGGUGCGUAGGUGGUUGCGUAAGUAACGUGUGAAAUCCCUCGGCUUACCCGGGGAAUUGCAUGGUAUACUGCGUGACUUGAGGUCUAAAGGGGAAAAGGGAACUCCAGGUGUAGCGGUGAAAUGCGCAGAUAUCUGGGGGAAGGCCGGCGGCGAAGGCGCUUUUCUGGUUAGAUCCUGACACUGAGGCACGAAAGCGUGGGGAGCAAACAGG